GCCAUCAGGUUAAGCUGGGGACUCUAAAGGAACUGCCUACGCAAGUAGUGAGGAAGCGGGGAUGACGUCAAAUCAGCACGGCCUUACGUCCAGGGCUACACACGUGCUACAAUGGCCGAUACAGAGGGCAGCUACCUGGUGACAGGAUGCAAAUCUCCAAAGUCGGUCUCAGUUCGGAUCGGAGUCUGCAACCCGACUCCGUGAAGUUGGAUUCGCUAGUAAUCGCGCAUCAGCCAUGGCGCGGUGAAUACGUUCCCGGGCCUU
rnacentral:rRNA from 1 species